rnacentral:misc_RNA from 1 species
GAUGAAGAACGCAGUGAAAUGCGAUACGUAAUGUGAAUUGCAGAAUUCAGUGAAUCAUCGAAUCUUUGAACGCACAUUGCGCCCGUCAGUAUUCUGGCGGGCAUGCCUGUUCGAGCGUCAUUACGCCCCUCAAGUCCCCUGUGGACUUGGUGUUGGGGAUCGGCGAGGCUGGUUUUCCAGCACAGCCGUCCCUUAAAUUAAUUGGCGGUCUCGCCGUGGCCCUCCUCUGCGCAGUAGUAAAACACUCGCAACAGGAGCCCGGCGCGGUCCACUGCCGUAAAACCCCCCAACUUUUUAUAGUUGACCUCGAAUCAGGUAGGACUACCCGCUGAACUUAAGCAUAUCAAUAAGCGGAGGA